GGGGGUGUAGCUCAGUAGUAAGCAGAGCACCUCCUUAGCAUGUGUGAGGUCCUAGGUUCAAUCCCCAGCACCCCCC
rnacentral:tRNA from 1 species